AGGGGAUUGCUGAGUUGGAUGGAUGUGUGGGGCUGCAGGGUUGGGACAGAGGUUGACGAGGAGCGGGGAGGGAGGGCACAGCCGAACAGCAGGGCAUUGUGCCCGAACACCAGGCACUGGGAGACACACUCAAACACAUUCACGGAUUCACACACUGACACAGUCGUGCACACAAGCGCAUGCUUCUGCCCACUGCCACACAGAUUCGCGCUGGCAUCUCGGAGGGCAGCCCCGUCUCCAGUCCAGUGCUGGGUGUUGAAGCUGAUCAGCCCUCUCUGCUGCACAGGUGUUGAAGAUCAGACUCUGACUGAAUCUGAAUCAGUGGUUAAAAGACUUGGAGAAUCCCACACACUGUCCUGUACAGGUUCUGGAUUCAGAUUCAGCAGCUACCAUAUGAACUGGGUCAGACAGGCUCCUGGUAAAGGACUGGAGUGGAUCGCUUUUGUGCACACAGGCAGUUCUUAUAUCUAUUACUCCCAGUCAGUCCAGGGUAGAUUCACCAUCUCCAGAGACGAUUCCAGCAGUAAAGUCUAUCUACAGAUGAACAGUGUGAGGACCGAGGACACAGCAGUGUAUUACUGUGCCAGACACACAGCGAGAGACAGAAAUAGAAGCGUCGUACAAAAACUACUUCCUCUAUUUACCACAAACACUGGAAACAUUCAGUUAACUCAGUGUCCUGCAUUAUGA